rnacentral:rRNA from 1 species
UACGUAGGCAGCGAGCGUUGUUCGGAGUUACUGGGCGUAAAGCGUGCGUAGGCGGUUGGCAAAGUCAGCUGUGAAAGCCCCGGGCUUAACCUGGGAAUGGCGGUUGAAACUAGACGACUAGAAUCUGGCAGAGGGGGGUGGAAUUCCACGUGUAGCAGUGAAAUGCGUAGAGAUGUGGAGGAACACCGAUGGCGAAGGCAGCCCCCUGGGCUGAGAUUGACGCUCAGGCACGAAAGCGUGGGGAGCAAACAGG